GCAUCCAUGGUUCAGUCGGGAAAACAACCGACUAUGGUGCGGUAAGAUUUGGGUUUGAGCCUCGAUGAAGGCA